rnacentral:rRNA from 1 species
UACAGAGGUCCCAAGCGUUGUUCGGAUUCAUUGGGCGUAAAGGGUGCGUAGGCGGCGCGGUAAGUCGGGUGUGAAAUCUCGGAGCUUAACUCCGAAACUGCAUUCGAUACUGCCGUGCUUGAGGACUGGAGAGGAGACUGGAAUUUACGGUGUAGCGGUGAAAUGCGUAGAUAUCAGGAGGAACACCAGUGGCGAAGGCGGUGCUCUGGGCCGGAACUGACGCUGAGGAGCGAAAGCGUGGGGAGCAAACAGG